rnacentral:lncRNA from 1 species
GAGAAUUGAUUCUAGAAACAAAUGUUGAUCGAAAUUUAUCUUUAUAUUAAAUUAUAAGUGAAAUUCAUUCGCAAUGAAGCGAAGCGAAAAUAGAGUAAGAUAAUUCUAUCUCACAUUUUUCUUCUUUACUUAUAACCUCAAUUACUCGUAAUUUGAACAAGCCUCAAUUUUUGUACGUUAACUUUUGUAUCACGUUUUGUCACUGUAAUUGAGUCUACAACUUCCAUUAAUUUAACAAAAAAAAAAAAAAAUUAUAAUCAAAAGAGAGUCAAAUAUAUUUGUAUCAUAACCUAAUAUCAUAACCUAUAUUCGUCCCCAAUUUUAAAUUCAGACAAAAUAUAUUCUUCACUUUAUUAUAUAUAUAUAAGCGAUUAUUAAAUCAUCUUACAAAUGAAUUAGAACGUUAUUUAUAUUAUCUCGAGCAUAAUCUAUAUUACACAAUGCUACGGUAGAUAACAAUUUAAUCAACAAACAAUUCUCUCCAUGCACGCUAAGAACUUCGAUCCAACGUCGACGAUUCGAAACAUUCGUUACACCGAAUUUUUGCACGUCCUGACUUAAUUUAAUUUUCUCGAAUUCCAUAUCACUAUCUCGAAGGGAUUACAAUUUCUACCUCUGAAUUUUCGCUUCUUUCCUUUCCUUUCCUUUCUUCCUUCGAUGAACCGACAAUUUAUAUUUUUUCGCUGGCAAGCAAGAGAUUUAGAGAGACAGCCAACUCGGGUCUGGAAUUCGUGCCAAAACCGUGCAAUCUGCACGAUCGAAGCAGCCGUGCUAUAAGCUAACGCAUAGUUCGAGGUGAAUCCGCUUCGUCAUUCGAUGACAUCACGAGGCAAAUCGCUCGAGUAUACACUAUCAUUGUUCACUGUAAGCGCACGUUGCGGAUCAUUCUUCAAUAAAUGAAAACAAAGUUUUUAUCAAAGUGAUGUAAACACUUGUAUCUUGGUCAUAAAUCAAUAUAGGGAAAUCCAAUGUAAUUAGUGAUAUAAAAAUAAUUUAAUUCUUAUUCUUAGUUUACUUCUUCGAUGGUUGUUCAAUCUUUAAGUAAGGUUAGAAAACUUGGUGCACUCUUCAGGGAUUUGAAUUUUUCAGACAUGCUACGUUUAUAUUCCUGCUUACAUAAUUUAAUAUUGUUAACGUGUUAAUGAAAAUUUAAAUAAAGAAAAAAAAUUAGUCGUAAGAAAUCAAUCUAAAGUUGAGGCGUUCGAAAAUCUUCGAGAUCAUAUUCGUAACACAUAGAUUCAUUAAGAGUAUCGAGUGUCAUAAGUUAUAUCGUUCUUCGAUCCGUUCUCACUUACAAUUAGAAUAUUGUUCCACGAUCGGUGGUCGACCUAUCAACAAUAUCUUUUUAAUAAAAUCGAGAGCAUUCAAUAUAAAUUCCUACUAUUUGCUUUCAUUAUGGGUUCUCUCAUGUCAUUAUAUAAUCACGUCUGAACACUUAUAUUAACUCGUCUAAAUUCUUGUGCCUUGAGAGAUGCGACAUAUACUGAUGACAGUCUCGGCUAUUUUAAAUUGUCCGGAAACUCUUAUUUGCAAAUUAUUUAUUUAAUCAAAUUGUAUAUAUAUAUUUGCAUAAAUUAUAUUAUUGUA